CGGCGGACGGGUGAGUAACGCGUGGGCAACCUGCCUUCCACUGGGGGAUAACACAGGGAAACCUGUGCUAAUACCGCAUGACAUCACAUAGGGCAUCCUGUGUGAUCAAAGGAGUGAUCCGGUGGAAGAUGGGCCCGCGUCCGAUUAGCUAGUUGGUGAGGUAACGGCUCACCAAGGCGACGAUCGGUAGCCGGACUGAGAGGUUGGCCGGCCACAUUGGGACUGAGACACGGCCCAGACUCCUACGGGAGGCAGCAGUGGGGAAUAUUGCGCAAUGGGGGGAACCCUGACGCAGCGACGCCGCGUGAAGGAAGAAGGCCUUCGGGUUGUAAACUUCUUUGAUGAGGGACGAAGGAAGUGACGGUACCUCAAAAACAAGCCACGGCUAACUACGUGCCAGCAGCCGCGGUAAUACGUAGGUGGCGAGCGUUGUCCGGAAUUACCGGGUGUA
rnacentral:rRNA from 1 species